GAUUAAGCCAUGCAUGUCUAAGUGUAAAUUGUUAAGUUUGGAACUGCGAAUGGCUCAUUAUAUCAGUUAUAGUUUAUUUGGUGAAGUGUACUACUUGGAUAACCGUAGUAAUUCUAGGGCUAAUACAUGAGAAGGUCCUCUGGUGAGGUGUGUUUAUUAGAAUGAAAACCAUAUGCUUCGGCAUGAUAGUGAGUAAUAGUAACCUAUCGUAUCGCAUGCUUAUGGUAGCGAUGAGUCUUUCAGGUUUCUGCCCUAUCAGCUUUCGAUGGAAUUAUAUGGGCCUACAGGGGCAGUACCGGGAAACAAAAAAUUGGGGUUCGAUUUCGGAGAGGGAGCCUGAGACACGGCUACCACAUCCAAGGAAGGCAGCAGGCGCGUAAUUACCCAUCCUGACCAGGGAGGUAGUGACAUAA
rnacentral:rRNA from 1 species